UACGUAGGGCGCAAGCGUUGUCCGGAAUUAUUGGGCGUAAAGAGCUCGUAGGCGGUCUGUCGCGUCUGCCGUGAAAACCCGAGGCUUAACCUCGUGGCUUGCGGUGGAUACGGGCAGACUAGAGGUAGGUAGGGGAGAAUGGAAUCCCCGGUGUAGCGGUGAAAUGCGCAGAUAUCGGGAGGAACACCGGUGGCGAAGGCGGUUCUCUGGGCCUUACCUGACGCUGAGGAGCGAAAGCGUGGGGAGCGAACAGG
rnacentral:rRNA from 1 species